UAAUAUAUAUUAAAUUUAUAUCUAAUAUGUUUAAUAUAUUGUAUAUUAAUAUUAUAUUUUAAUGCAUUUAAUAUAUUAUCUAUUAAUACUUAGAAUUAAUACUAUAUUAACACAGAAGGGUGGUAAGAGCUAGGUUAUUAGGGUUAAGUGACUUACCCAGGGUCACCCAGCUAGGGAAUGUCUGAAGCCACAUUUGAACUCAGGUCCUCCCCUCUCUAGGCCUGCCUCUCUGUCUACUGAGCUACCUGGCUGCCCCCUGUGAACUUAUUUUUUUUUUAAUAGUUUGACAAAUAUUUCAAUAUAAUUGUUGUCUUUUGUAAUCCUACACAUUUUAUUUUAUGCAUUUUAAAAUAUGAUUCUGAAGAGUCCAUAGGCUUUGUCACACACACACACACACACACACACACACACACACACACACACACACACACACACACACAGAGGAUUUUAACUUUCUCAGUGGAAGUAAAUGCUGCCUUCCAUCCAGGCUUUGCUGGCUGGUCCCAGCUGGAAGACCCUCUCUUUUCUGCCUCCUCAAUCCCAUUAUUUCUUUGAUUUGAGAAACCGUGUGCUUCUCUCCCUUCCUCUCUGGGCCCCCAAAAGACUGAGAACAGAGGAGCGAGUCAGGAGAAGACUUCAGGCAGUCCCCGCAGACUCAGGAGUGGUCACUCUCCCUGGGUCGCUCAGCUCGCCGGUAUUCGGACCCCAAUCCGAGUCUCACACUUAUAAAAUGGUAGAUUUAGGCGGGGAAGGGGCCGUCCCUUGAUUCUGAGUGGCCGAAGGGAAAAGGAACUGGGUCGGUGAUUUCUUUGGCAAAAUUCUCUACCUCAGAGUCUUCGGGGUCAUCUUGAGCGCUGGGAGUUUCAGUGACUUGCCCAGGAUCAGACGGCCAACAUGACUUCAGGACUCGCUCUCCAGCCAAUGUGCUUAUUUCACGGAUGAAUAAACCGAGGCCCAGAGAAUUGAAACGAUGUAAAGGAAGAAAGUGGCAGAGUUGGGAUUUGAACUCACAAUCUCUUACUAUAGAUUUCUUCUCUAUGGAGAUGCUUAACUGUUUUGUGUGCGUGCGCACACUUGACCCCUUUGCCAGGCUCAGAUGAAGCCUGGGGACUCUUCAGAAUAAUAUUUGUAAAAGACCAGCGAUUCUAGAGAUCUUUGCUUUCCCCUACUCCAGGCUGCCUCCCUAACCAUUAUACUACACGAUCAGGUUACUUAUCAGGGAGAAUGAAUCACUCUUUUACCAACCUCUGAUAAAUACACAACUCAGGGUGGUCUUGUCUGGGCUGCGAUGAGGAGGGCCACACUGCCAAGGGGUUCUCUCCGCAAUCCUGCCUUUGACUGUCCCUUUUCUUUGUCUCUCUCUGACUCUGGGUGGCUCAGAUGGCUCUCACUCUUCCCACACCUCCCAGUGGCCAUGACCCAUGUGUGCCUCUGCCACCCCCAAGCAGGGGCCCCAAAGGGGCUUCCAAUCGUUCCUAGAACGGGCUGAGGAGGGGGCGGCACUCACCUGUGGAGAGGGCCUAGCCUGGGUCCAGUCACUGGCUAUUGUCUCCGAUAGGCAGGUUCCCAGCUGCCUGUCUCUGCUCUGUGGAGGCUGCUUCUAUUUUGAAUUUGUGUUUAAUUAUAAACCAUGAUCUGCUUCCCCCCUGCCGCCCUCCUCUUCUUCCUCUCCACCCUACCCGGGGCCAUCGGUCCCCUUCGUUCCCAGGAGGGGAAGGUGCCGAGAGGAUGAGCCCAGUCUGACGGUCCUGGCACCCGACACCUGCCUCCUCCCCCUCUGACCCAACAUCAGCACUCCACACGCUACGGAUACAGCUGGUCCAGUCAUAGCCUAGGCUAUAUAUACGACUUGAGUUUACCCCCAGGAUGCCAGACCACAAGGCAGAGUAACAAGGAACCUGUGAGGAUUUUGCCCAGAAAUGAAGCCUAUACUUCACAGAAACUAGAUGUCUUUUCUUGCAGAGUGGUAGGUGCCAUUAGACUCUCCCCAUCCCCAUUAUGUUGUUCCUGGCUAAGUUGGAGGUCCAAGUUACGCAGCUGAGAGAGGAACCCCAGAUUGGGGCAGAUAUUUCGAUGGACAUUUACUGUCUUCAAGGCUUCCACCAAGGUCAGAUGCUUCCGGAGCAUCAGGAAGGCAAGUACCAGGGUAGCAGAGCGACUAAGCCCCAUGGCACAGUGGACAAGCACCUUCCCUGGGAAGAAUCAUAGAAUCAGGGAUUUAGAUGUGGAAGGGACCCUAAGGGCUAUUGAGUCCAAGUCUCAUUUCACAGAUGAGAAAAUGAGGCCAAGAGAGACUAAGUAACUUGUCUAUAGUCUCACAGCUAGUAUGUAUCUAAGGCUGGAUUUGAACUUGGGUCUUCCUGAUGCCAAAUCCAAUACAUUAUGCCAUGGAGCUGGAGAAACAAGAACAGUCCCAAGUGGGUAUAAAGGAAAGGGCAAUGAAAGAAGAGUCUCCUAUCCAUUUUACAGGCUGGGGACUUACAACCCAAUGCAACAGAAAAUCAGGGGGCAGCUAUAGGUAUUAAAUCACGCCAAACCCCUAGACCUAGGGCACUGGACUUCCAGACUCACUUCUGCUCAUUUUCAUACAGUCCUGAGAAUAGGGUAGGAUGCAGCGCUUCAAAGGUCUUGGGCAAAGGAGAGAGUCCCUGCCACCUGCCUCCCUCUUACCUUCUGGGGUGUCUAAGGCUCCCUGGAUGAAGUUUGCUGCCUCAUGGAAAAAGACACUGAGGUCAAAGGCACAGUCAUCAAAAGCCUCUAUCCCAAGGUUUGGCAUGCAGAAUUGAACAUAAGUAUCAGAUGAGGACUGAUAAGAACACAGUUACGGAAGACUAUUCUCUCCUUAUUUCUGGAAGCUCUUCCCCUUUUACUGCAACCCAAAAUGAUAUUAGUUUUCUUUGCUGCUGAAUCACACGGCUCUUUCCUAUUGCGUGCAAUGAGAAACUAAUAUGUUAAUCUCAAGUUAUUAAUAGUUGUUAAUAUCUCCCAAAAGUUAAUAAAAGCUGGUUUUUCCCCCA